rnacentral:rRNA from 1 species
CCUACGGGUGGCAGCAGUGAGGAAUAUUGGUCAAUGGACGGAAGUCUGAACCAGCCAUGCCGCGUGCAGGAUGACGGCUCUAUGCGUUGUAAACUGCUUUUGUCCAAGGGUAAACCUGAAUACGGGUAUUCAGCUGAAAGUACUGUACGAAUAAGGAUCGGCUAACUCCGUGCCAGCAGCCGCGGUAAUACGGAGGAUUCAAGCGUUAUCCGGCUUUAUUUGGGUUAAAGGGUGCGUAGGCGGAUUGAUAAGUUAGAUGGGAAAUGUCCGAGCUUAACUCGCGAACUGCCUCUAAUACUGUUGAUCUAGAGAGUAGAUGCGGUAGGCGGAAUGUGUGGUGUAGCGGUGAAAUGCUUAGAUAU